rnacentral:rRNA from 1 species
UACGUAGGGUGCAAGCGUUGUCCGGAAUUAUUGGGCGUAAAGAGCUCGUAGGCGGUCUGUCGCGUCUGCUGUGAAAACUCGGGGCUUAACCCCGGGCCUGCAGUGGGUACGGGCAGACUAGAGUGCGGUAGGGGAGACUGGAAUUCCCGGUGUAGUGGUGGAAUGCGUAGAUAUCGGGAGGAACACCAGUGGCGAAGGCGGUUGCCUGGAGCUUUGCUGACGCUGAUGCGCGAAAGCGUGGGGAGCGAUCCGG